rnacentral:misc_RNA from 1 species
GGAGGGCCUCAUUCCUUUGGUGUAUAAAGCAAUAAAGAAGAGCAGAACCCGCAGGCAAUACGAGUGUCUCUCUUCUAAUGCUUCUCUUGUUUACAAUCCAGCAGAUUUUUUUAUUAAUAAAGCAGAGUUAAACCUGAACACUGCUUCUGCUUCAACAGAGAAAGGAAAUAAUGCAGGGAGAAAACUCCACAGGCGAUUCACUUCUGUCGAAGAUUUAUCGGUUACUGCUGCUUCUCCUCCUCGGAAGCAGCUUCUGAGGUUCAGAAGCCAUAGAAUGUUUUCUUGUGUU